UUCCCGUUCGUAUAACGGCUAGUAUGCUCGCUUGUCAUUACGUAACUUGACCGCGGGAGAUCGGAGUUCGAUUCCCCGACGGGAAG